AGUGAACGCUGGCGGUAGGCCUAACACAUGCAAGUCGAACGGCAGCACAGUAAGAGCUUGCUCUUACGGGUGGCGAGUGGCGGACGGGUGAGGAAUACAUCGGAAUCUACUUUUUCGUGGGGGAUAACGUAGGGAAACUUACGCUAAUACCGCAUACGACCUACGGGUGAAAGCAGGGGAUCUUCGGACCUUGCGCGAUUGAAUGAGCCGAUGUCGGAUUAGCUAGUUGGCGGGGUAAAGGCCCACCAAGGCGACGAUCCGUAGCUGGUCUGAGAGGAUGAUCCGCCACACUGGAACUUAGACACGGUCCAGACUCCUACGGGAGGCAGCAGUGGGGAAUAGUGGACAAUGGGCGCAAGCCUGAUCCAGCCAUACCGCGUGGGUGAAGAAGGCCUUCGGGUUGUAAAGCCCUUUUGUUGGGAAAGAAAAGCAGCAGGUUAAUACCCCGCUGUUCUGACGGUACCCAAAGAAUAAGCACCGGCUAACUUCGUG
rnacentral:rRNA from 1 species